UCCAGACUCCUACGGGAGGCAGCAGUGGGGGAUAUUGCACAAUGGGGGGAACCCUGAUGCAGCGACGCCGCGUGGGUGAAGGAGCGUUUCGGCGCGUAAAGCCCUAUCGGCAGGGAAGAAGGAGGACGGUACCUGACUAAGAAGCCCCGGCUAACUACGUGCCAGCAGCCGCGGUAAUACGUAGGGGGCAAGCGUUAUCCGGAUUUACUGGGUGUAAAGGGGGCGCAGACGGCAGCGCAAGCCAGGAGUGAAAGCCCGGGGCCCAACCCCGGGACUGCUCUUGGAACUGCGCGGCUGGAGUGCAGGAGGGGCAGGCGGAAUUCCUGGUGUAGCGGUGAAAUGCGUAGAUAUCGGGAGGAACACCGGUGGCGAAGGCGGCCUGCUGGACUGCGACUGACGUUGAGGCUCGAAAGCGUGGGGAGCAAACAGGAUUAGAUACCCCGGUAC
rnacentral:rRNA from 1 species